AUAAUAGUAAUUUAAGAUAAAAAAAAUUAACCUUACCAAAUUUGGACUAUCUCGGCCUAUUUUUUUGAUUCUUUUUAUAGGGUAGAAAAUUGGUCCUUUAUAGGGCAGAAAGGUUUGAAUUUUAAUAUGGUAUGAUGAAAGUUGAUCCAUAACGUAAACUUGAUAUAAAAGUUCAGUGUGCCGAAUUUUGCACACGUACCUCAAUUUUCGAAUAUCUUGGGCGCAACCAUUCUUACGAAAAGGAUCUGCUUUGCAAGAAGGUCUACUUUUUAACAUGCAGUUUCGCAAUAGUUGGUUGAUGUAAAAACAGAGUAUGAUUUCUGUGGUCGAAUUUGGUGUAAGGUAUUUAACGGUCGGCCUAGCCCGACUAUAACGUUUUCACUUGUCUUAACAGGUAGACUAGAUGGUUACUCUAGUCGCUUUAAUAAAGUUAAAUAUUUUUGAUAUUAAUUUCUUCAGGCACCUGAUCGCUAGGUCUGGUGUUAACUAACUUUUUCAUAAAGUUUUGCAAAUGAAUGUCACGUAGUAAAUAGGCCGUGGCUGCGUAAGCCGUUAUUGGAAUGAACUAUAUCCAAAUUGUAAUGUACAUAUGUGCUCUGGUUUUUGCAGUAACGGUUGAGAAUUUUGUUGCAAUGUCUGGAAGAACGAAAAUUGCUUCAAUGCUUACUAAUGUUCUUGGCAAUAAUUUCAUAAGUUAAAUUCAACAUUGCGCAGAUUAUGCCUCAAAAGCUCCCUGAGUUACCGCAUAAUUCUAUGCUCUGCUAUAUUUCGCAUUUAGUGCAAGCCACUAAUAUAGUUCGCUUUAAUAACCGUUUUUUCUUUAGCGUUUGCGGGCAAACACUUCGACAAUGUUUCGAGCAUAGUUAGCAGAAAAAUGGAUGUUGUGCGCAGUUAGUUGCCAACAAUUUAGCUGCAGCUCGCCAAAUAAGAAAUAAAGCCACUUCUUAUUAUGUACGUCAUAGGUGUAUGCUAUAAACAGCAGAAAUACAAUAACAUACUCGGAGAGAGAGCACAACAAAAAAUGGAAAGCAGGCUAAAUAAAAACAAGUAAAUCAUGAAAUACCCUACAUCAUCUUAGAGUUACUCAUAUACCGUGAACCGAUCUAAAUCAUUUUCAAUAGCGUUUCUCCUUGGGCCAAAACAGGCAAACAAGGCUAAAUCAGCAUCAUCUUCUGAAUGCGUUCAGCCUCGCUUGCUGAAUCUCUGACAGCAGCCGAAAAAUUGAUAUAGACGGUCUCACGAAACUCUUCUAUGGAGAAAACCUAUCAAUAUACAGAUUUUCAUGACAAUUAUGGCUUUGCGUGAAAAUAGUGCGUACCUUUUGAAGGAUUAUUACCAAAACGAGCAAAUAAGUGUACUAAGCGGAGUGGUGCAAGGUAUGCAAAAGUCGGCGUUGUCCCACUAUAAUGUUACCUCUUUUAUUUUAUUCAUAUUCAUUGCUUAGAACACUUUGCACACGCAGACCCACUAUUAAAAAAAAAUGCUGAAUCUUUUUCGUAUACAACCACUUCACCGACCGAUCGCUCAGCCACAGAUUCUGCCUGGCGCGGGCUCCGUUUCGGUUUAGACUGUCGAUAUAUCUGGACAUUUCGUAUGCUCAGAUAAAAUUGCUUACAGAGCAAAAUGAAUAGUAGUUACUCAAUAUUAAAUAACAAAUAAGUGUGUUUGUAUGUCCCUAGUCUUUAUGACAAGAAGUAAAAACACUAUAGUGGAUGAGGAGCCACCAUUAAAUGUUCUACGCCGACCUAAAGCUAUUAAAUAACAACUAUUUUAAAUAUAAGGGAAGUGGCCGAAAAAGGCCAUUUCCGUAGCGAUCGUUUUGGGUUCAGAAUACAUCAGCGUACUAAAUUUCAUCAAAACGUCUCAAAAAAAUUACAACCCGGAGGUUAAACUCAAGAAUAGCAAACGGACAGGCGGACAGACAAGUUUAUUUUGAUUCCCGAAAAUGAUUCUAAAUCGAUUGAUUUAACAAAAGAUGGAUUCAUUUCAUCUCCUUCCGUGCUGCGCAUAUAUCCGCACAAACUUAAUAUACUCUUGUACCGGAAGUGAAGUAAAAUAUGCCAAACAUCUCCUCUCGUCACGCUCACGAUUCAAAUGUUUAUUGUAUUUAGGCACACAACAGCGCAUGCUGAGAUCAAUUCAUUUUUCGUGAUGUUUGACAUCACCCAUAUUUACUUAAGCGCAACCCCGUAAUUUCAAUAGUAAAUCUUUGUUUUAUUUUUUUUUUUUAAAUAUUAAAAUAUUCUGUUUAAUCCGUUUAUAGGUUUUUCUUAUAUAUUUAUUACCAAAGUAAACAAACUUGUGCUUCCGUUUUUGUUCACAAUAAGAUUCCAAAACGAUUUAAUCACGAAAAUUUAUUAUUGGAAUUUAUAACGUAAGUGAAAUUGAAUUAGAAAACCGAAUAUAGAUCAAAUCGAUGAUUAUAAACAGUUUGACUGUAGCCACAGAACGUAUUAACAGACUAACGGCACUCGUAAAUUUAA